AAUUGGUUUUCAUUUAUAAAGCAUCAUCGAACGGUGAUAGUUUGAGUCGGCGUCAAUCGUUUCUGCACAUGUCGGUGAGUGCGAUGAGAGAAGUAUAGACCCCAAAUCAAACGAUGACCUCACCGCCGGCAGUCCGUCAUCAACAAUAUUCGCCAUUUUCAUUUUUACCGUACGUCCAUGUCAAAGAAAAGAAUGGGAUGCUCGUCCAAGAUGCGGCUAAAAUAAGGAAUAUUUGCCGGUAUCAAUAUUGAAUUGUUUAGUCCAAGACAUUGCUACACCAUACUCUUUCAUCACCCGUACACAAUAAUAGUUUCCAAUAGUACUCCAAUGAUAAUUCAUCUGGAUCUAGGUUAUAGAAAGUUAUUCUAGGAACUUAGCUACAUGAAGACUUAGCGGAUAAAACUCAACUACAGCCCACAUAAUUUAGAUGCACAAUCUGUAUGACCUUAAAAUCAUUCGGCAAUGGAUCAAUCCCAAACCCAAUGUUAUGCAUAAAUGGACCAUGUGACUGAAAUGUGACACGAACCGGUGGAAGGGCCAUCAACUUUUGAAUCAAUGGGUUCCAUGGAUACAAGUCAUUGGUAAUACCAAAGUGAUCGUCCGAGUGGCAUAUAACCCCAUUUCACCACAUUACAAUUAUCCUAAAAUAAUUGUUUGCACAGUGAAAGCUGGAGCUUUGUAUAUUCAUCAAACAUUUGAUUAUCAUAAUGUAGUGAGUAAUGCUAGAGUAUGGCAUAGCGACAACUUGGACUAAACAUUUCAAUAUUGAUGUGAGCAAAUUUUACCAAAGCGUAGUUGUUCUACUGACAAGUAAGGGAUAUUUGGCAUCUUGUGAUUUUGAAGACCAACGAGGACUUUGGAAUCUCAAAAUUUGUGGCUCUAGAGAUUCAUGGUAUAAGGACUCGUUUAAUGCAAAUGCUUAUAUGGAGAGCCUAGUUUUACAUGGGUGAAACCACCUGUUUUGCAUGAGGAAGACAGUGAAGCUGAUAAGAAAUCCGAGAAAGAGAGUCGAAAAGCAAAGGAGGUUAUAGCACCAAGCAAGAUUUUUCUUUCAAGGUCACGACGUGGCUGGUCUGGAAAGCCAAAAUACGGAAAAGAUGAGAGUUGAACUAUCGAAAGAGUAGAAAUGGCAUGUAAUCUCUAUCCCUGCUUCUAGUUAGGUUGACUCUGUUUAGAGUGUAUAAAUUGUAUAUUGAUGUAGUUUAGAACUUCCUUUGGGAAGAUUUAACUGAAUCAUGAUGCAUGGAGAAUUUAUGCGUUGAUAUGGGUUGUAGAUGUUAUGCUGAUAAUAUUGCUCAUCUUUCGAUGCCUCAGCCACGAGUUUCCAAGAAUAUAUUUUUGGGUUAUGUUGUUGGAUUCCUAGCCAAGCAUUUAGAACUACUAAUUUGGAUAGGAGUGGGAAAUCGUAACUAUCUUUUUAAUUCAUAUUCUUGUCAAGAGGGCUCCCUCUUGAGUCUUGGCAAGAGCCAUGAGCUUUCCCUUGGUAAGUAUCUCAAAAUUUGUGAAACGAAAAACAAAUCAAGGUUCAAUACAAUGAGCUUACUGCCCUUGUCAAAAGAAGACCCAUAUUAUAGCUUUUUCCUAGAAUAUAUAUAUAUAUAUAUAUAUAUAUAUAUAUAUAUGUAUAAAUGUUCAUGACCUGCAAUACAGUAUUACUAUAAUUUAGUAUUGCUACUCUAUAUAUAUGUAUAAAUGUUCAUGACCUGCAAUACAGUAGUACUAUAAUUUAGUAUUGCUACUCUGGUGCUGCAUGUUUGCUUCUUGAAUAAGGUGCUGUUUGUGAGCUUGAUACUGUGAUUUUUCCCCCUUGCAAUAUAAAACUUUAUAUUAAUCAUAAGCAACAUUACAUUCAUCAGUCUCCACAUUUAACAACCAAUUAGGAAUCACAUCCCACUCCACCAGCAUAUGACACUCCCCCAAAACUCUCUAUCCAAAGAGCAUGAGCUACCCUGUUAGACACUCUACAUCCAUUGCAGCACCGUGUCCCCAUGAUGCUGCAAGAGUUCACCAAUAUCUUCAUGAACUGUAACUAAAACAGCCUCUGAAACAAACAUCUUCAUCGUAGUUUAGAACUUAAAAUGAAGUAAUCUUUUAAGCGAGAACAUUUCAUUUAGCAUUGAACACUAAUCAUUGGAAAAGAAAUUUAAAAAAACAAUUAAAUUGCAUUUGGCACUUAUAAUUUUCAGCUCUUCUUUCUUGAUAAACUACUUUUAUGGACUUAGAGAGAAUGGAACUGUGCAUUUAUAUUUUUAUUUUGAUUCUCGUUUCUGCAGGUUUUUCCUUAACGAUGACUGAGGGUCGGAGGGAAUUUUUUUUUCAAAA